CCUACGGGAGGCAGCAGUGAGGAAUAUUGGUCAAUGGACGAGAGUCUGAACCAGCAAAGUAGCGUGAAGGAUGACUGCCCUAUGGUUUGUAAACUUCUUUUAUAUUGGAAUAAAAUGUUCCACGUGUGGGAUUUUGUAUGUACCAUAUGAAUAAGGAUCGGCUAACUCCGUGCCAGCAGCGGCGGUAAUACGGAGGAUCCGAGCGUUAUCCGGAUUUCUUGGGUUUAAAGGGAGCGUAGGUGGAUUGUUAAGUCAGUUGUGAAAGUUCGCGGCUCAACCGUAAAAUUGCAGUUGAAACUGGCAGUCUUGAGUACAGUAGAGGUGGGCGGAAUUCGUGGUGUAGCGGUGAAAUGCUUAGAUAUCACGAAGAACUCCGAUUGCGAAGGCAGCUCACUGGACUGCAACUGACACUGAGGCUCGAAAGUGUGGGUAUCAAACAGGAUUAGAUACCCUUGUAGUC
rnacentral:rRNA from 1 species